UACAGAGGUCUCAAGCGUUGUUCGGAUUCAUUGGGCGUAAAGGGUGCGUAGGUGGCGAUGUAAGUCUGGUGUGAAAUUUCGGAGCUCAACUCCGAAACUGCAUUGGAUACUGCAUUGCUAGAGGAUUGUAGAGGAGAGUGGAAUUCACGGUGUAGCAGUGAAAUGCGUAGAUAUCGUGAGGAAGACCAGUGGCGAAGGCGAUUCUCUGGGCAGUUCCUGACACUGAGGCACGAAGGCUAGGGGAGCAAACGGG
rnacentral:rRNA from 1 species